GAUGAACGCUGGCGGCGUGCCUAAUACAUGCAAGUCGAGCGAACAGACGAGGAGCUUGCUCCUCUGACGUUAGCGGCGGACGGGUGAGUAACACGUGGAUAACCUACCUAUAAGACUGGGAUAACUUCGGGAAACCGGAGCUAAUACCGUAUAAUAUAUUGAACCGCAUGGUUCAAUAGUGAAAGACGGUUUUGCUGUCACUUAUAGAUGGAUCCGCGCCGCAUUAGCUAGUUGGUAAGGUAACGGCUUACCAAGGCGACGAUGCGUAGCCGACCUGAGAGGGUGAUCGGCCACACUGGAACUGAGACACGGUCCAGACUCCUACGGGAGGCAGCAGUAGGGAAUCUUCCGCAAUGGGCGAAAGCCUGCCGGAGCAACGCCGAGUGAGUGAUGAAGGUCUUCGGAUCGUAAAACUCUGUUAUUAGGGAAGAACAAAUGUGUAAGUAACUAUGCACGUAUUGACGGUACCUAAUCAGAAAGCAACGGCUAACUACGUG
rnacentral:rRNA from 1 species